rnacentral:lncRNA from 1 species
UAAAAGCUCCUGGCCAGGGCUGCCUGGAGCUGCCCCUUCCACUCCGCCCCCAGGGAGCUCCCGGGUCAUCCUCUCAUCCGGGCUGCCCCGCGGCCCCCAAGGAGCCCCACCCCCGGGACCAAAUGGCCCGCAAGGUUUGUCUGUUUUCUCUCCCAGGCCCCCCAUGAGGUCCUUAAAAGCAAAGAUAUUUAAAAAGAACGAAAGAAAGAAAAAAACCAAAAAGCAAAUCCUUGGAAAUGCCUUAAAGGACUCUCCAGAGACACACUGCUCUUUGUAGGUGUUUAUUCCUAUGGGCCCACUGGACCAAACGCUAAAAAACGUGAAGACAUCAGACUGUGAGACUCAUAGAGCAGACACAAAAUGGAAAACUGGCCCAAAGCAGUUUGCUUCCUCAGAGUGGAGAGUUGUAUAUUUGAUGUUCCAAAAAUAUAUUUAUGCUUGCACAUAUAUUUUCUCAUUCUUUCUGGGGUCAGGUAUUUUUAUUUUACUGAGGAUGAAAUGAAAGUUCAAAGACAGAUGACUUGACUUGCCCAACAUCAUCUGAAGUUACUCCCUGAUAUAAAACUACUGGCCCUCUGUAGUUUUACUUUAUCUCUCGAUUCAGCAUAAUAAUAAUAACUAACAUUUAUUUAGUGGUACUAAGCUAUGAGCUUUGGGGCAAGCAAACACUGAGAUGGUCUCCAAUGAUCCCCAUUUCCUGGUGUUCAUUCCCCUGUAUAAUCUCUGCCCUGGGAGUGUGGACUGGCCUUGUGAUUUCUAACAAACAUAGUGUGGCAAGAGUGAUGAGAAGAAGGCUAAAUAAGAUUGUGGCUUCUUCCUUGUUAGUUGACUUUCCCUCUCAUUGAUUUUGAUGAAGCAAGCUGUUAUGUCGGGGAGGCCCACAUAGCAAGGAACUGAGGAGGGCAGCCUCUGGCCAACAGUCAGCAAGGAACUGAAUUCUGCCAACAACCAUGUCAGUGAGCUUGGAAACGGAUCCUUCCCCAGUUGGGUCUUGAGAUGGUAUCUCAGCGCUGGCUGACAUUUGAUUGCAGCCUUGCAAGAGACCCUGAAGCAGAGGACCCAGCUAAGCCAGGUGCAGAUUCCAGACCCACCAAAACUGAGAAUUAUAGUUUUGGUUAGAUUAUAAUUAUAGUUUUGGUGGGAUUCCAGACCAACCAAAACUGAGAAUUACAGCUUCAGCUUCAGAAGCUGAAGAAGCUGUGUGUUGCUUUAAGCUAUUACAUUUUGGGAUAAUUUGUUAUGCAGCAAUAGACAACUGAUAACAGGUAGUCGUUGUGUUAAGGAAACUAAAGCUCAGAUGGGAUUUUAAAAAAAUCAGUUAUUAUCACAUGGCUGGUAAGUACCAAAGCUGAGAUUUGAACCCAAUUCUGUCUGAUCUCUAAACCUCCACUCCUAACCACUAAAUUAUAUUGCAGCAAGGCCCUUUGGAAAGUAGCUCUAGUUUAUGUCUCUAACUUUAUCUCCCGUCACAGCCACCCUGAAGUCUCACCUGAAGCUGAGACUUUAAUUCUCCAAUACAACAUCCUCACAGGUAAGUCCUUUUACCUACAGUAAAAGGUCAAUUUCUUGGUCAAUUUCAAGCCAACACCUUCUCAUCUUUAAGGCUUGAAUCAAAACCCUCCUCCUUCAGGAAUCUGGGAAGAGAAAAGAAUUCCCCACAUCUUUUGCAAAAAUCUCAUUAAUAAUCCACCCCAUUUAGCUUAUAAUCAAUAAAUAACCAUAAGUAUAAUCAGUCAAGCAGCCGACGCCACUGCUCUGCCUAUUCUUUUGUUUCUUUACUUAUCUAAUAAAGUCACUUUCACUUUACUUUGUAGACUCACUCCAAAUUCUUUCUUGCACCAGAUCCAGGAGCCCUCUCUUAGGGUCUGGAUCAGGAACUCUUUCCAGUAACACUACUGCCCCCUUUUGAGCUAUGUAUUCAUCCUUGAAACUGCUUGCUAUUGCCACAAGUAACUAUACAUUAACCUAAUAAUGUCACACUGGACACUAUCACUCAUAGCCUAUAGCUUAACAGUGCAUAGCCAAUCAGUGAGCAAUGUUGUUUCUGUAAACCAAUGUGA